UGAUCCUAGUGAGGUUUAUUGAGAGAAUAAACAUGGUUCUUGCAUUGCAUCUGUGUGUAAUCCUUUCUGCAUGUAUGUGGUCACUUAAUUCUGUUGCGAUGUUGAUUUUACACUUUCAAUAUGUUUGAUAUGUGUAAUUGCAUGAAUUAGAGUGACUUAUUACUUUGUGUAAUAUGUUUACAUGCAUAGUGGGUUAAGUUUUGUGGCAUACUCUAUUUGCUCUGUGAGUGGUGUGAGAGUGUGGUAGUGAGAAGAAAGUUGG
rnacentral:lncRNA from 1 species